CCCCUGGUUAAGUAUAAAAGCACACAUAUCGCUUACAAUUUCCCCUUUUGAUGAUGGAGGAAAAAACACAAUUUCUAAAUGGUAUGGCAUGCAAACACAUUUUUUAAAAUUAUUAAUGAUUUUCCCCAGGGCUCCAGACAGGUUGGUGAGCAAACUUCAGCGAAUUUGGAAGCUGGGCAACUUUCCAUGCCCAAUUACACAGUGUCAGCUCCGGGUUUGCCUGGGUCCCAGUGCCCUCCAAACAGGCACAGGGACCUGUCUUUGUUUUUCCCUUUCUGUUGUUUUAAAGGCUGGUUUUCGGCAUUCCUCUCCUCUUGCUUGGAAGAGCGUGGUCUGCCCAUUUGCAGCUCUUGCAACACUUCAUUUAAAGUGAUUUAUCUUGCCAAAUUGAUCAUCUCUUUAAAAUCUGCUUUUACCCAGCAAUAAUAGCUGGUUAUAGUUAAUGUUUUUGCAAAGAGGUUCAUUCUGACUCAUCAUGGUCAACGUUGUCCCACACACAGCUGAGUAAAGUUCUGGUGGAUAUCCAAUUCCUGACUGUCAACUGUUGACCUCCCAACUGCUUCCCCAUUGAUAUCACCAUCUGUUGUCAUGGGAAAGACUGUCUGAUAUUUGGGUUAAAUGCCACUGAAGUCAUUCAAUUUCCAUGUGGAAAAAUAAUCCAAAGUAAAUUGCCCAGUGAGGUACGGAAGCUAUUUUCCCAGAGAUAGUGGAUCGAAAAAAAAAAAAAUCCCCCAAAAAGCAAAACAAAACACCUCGCCACAGAAAAUCCCUUCUUUUCUGUCUUCCCUCCGCAACCUAUUUUCAUCUCAUGCAUGAAACCGUGUGUCUUAAAGACUCAGGUGUGGCAGGGCCAUUCCUUGGGGCUGCAGGGAGAGGGGAGGAAGGUCGGAUUUCUGCUCCCUUCUCCCUCGGCCCCAGGGGCGCACCCAGGGCUCUUAGGGGCGCCUGCCACCGCGGUGUCCUGUGAGCCCCGCCGGCGAGGUUCCCAAAAGGCGCGCCGUCACCCCUUCUGACACUUUCCCUGCUCCGUGAUGGAGCAACUACUUAACAUGCAAAGUUUUCUCCAGCCUGCCCGGCUCGCUCGAGAUCAUUUCAGUAGCUGACCUGGCUUCUUUCCGAAAAGGCUGCCAAGACACAUGAAGUCUUGGGGACACAGUUUGCUCCCUACGAACACGGACCCGGAGUCUCCUCUCCUGCAAACUCGGACCCCUUUUCUCCUCCCGCCCUUCGUCACUCCUGUCCCCAGCUCCCCCCCGGACCUCAGCCCCUCUCCCAAGGCUCAGCAUUUCAUCGCUCUUACCUUUCCCCUCCGCCACCGGGGCUGCGGGAGACGAUCCAAGGAUCAAACAGAGGAGCCAGAAAGCUCUAGCUGUCAUUUUUGUAGACACGGUUCCCAGGCUCUAAAACUGAGCCAGGGCUUUUUGCAGUUUCUCUCCCCCCACCCCUUCUCCACACCCCCACCCCCUUCAUGCUAAUGAGAGGCAGCCUUCGGGGAAACGGAAUCACUCGCUGGACAGACCAUCGAACAGCUCGGAGCCGCAGGGGUUUCUCCCACUUCCUCGGGGGCGCAGCGCGGCCUCCCAAAGGUGUCCCCGCGAAUGUGCGCCCUGCGGCCUCUGCGCAGUGAGAGCAUCCAGUCCUAAACUUGAACCCCUGAGGGUUUGCGGGCUGGGCUGGGGGGAGCAGGGGGGGGAGAGUGGGUGGUAGGAAGUUUCUUCUAGAUUAAAUCGGCAGCAGAUGAGCAGAUUGGUGCUUAAGAGGGCUCGGGCUUGUGGAAGGGAGGGCUCAGGUGACAGCUCAUCCCAGAAUGUGCCAGGGAUUCCAAGAGAAACAAGUCUCCACAUCCUAGGUUUGGUCAAACGAUUUUACUAUGUAUAUGAUUUUUAUAUUCUAGAACCAGAAGAAAAAAGUCAUCAGCAAAAUAGCUCCCCACCCCCUCCCCCAUCAGCAUCAAGUUGGAAGGAUUCACCAAACCUUUUACCCCCAGGUGCUAGGGGACAAGGUGAACAAAGCACCUUCCUGGAUCUCUAGUGAUGGCUCAUCUCCUGUUUCUCUUCCUUCCAAGAAAAACUCAUUCACUGCUUAGGUCUGCAUCCUUGAAAGGGCUCUGUGUGCGGAUCCUGAGCCCAGGAGCCUCUCCCUCAGGUCGGACCGAAGCAGCGUUGGCCAAGGGCAGAAACAAGCUCAGCCUAGCAAACCCUCAGCCUUCCCGGAGAGCGUCUCAUUUCAACAGCUUCAAACCCAGGGGAAGGAAAAUGCGUUGCCAUGAAGGUGUUUUCCCUGAAGCGUCUGGGCCAACAGUGAGAUGCAGCUGCUAAAAGAAAGAACACACUUCUGUUGCACUAAUAUCUAAGGCCUCAGGAAUUGUAGUGCUGGCAGACGGACCAGAUUGUGGGGGUCACGUCCUCCAGGAAGACACUGGAAAGCUAAGACAAGGGGCCAGCGAGAAGGCUGGACUCCAUCAGGUUCAAGUUCCUUUGGAGGAACCGAGGGUUGGCAGCCUGGACACACAAAAACAUUUGUUGUGCUUUGUGAAAGAACCCGUAGGUUGAAGUUAUGAAGUGACAGGUUUAACCUCAAUUUAAGAAAGAAGACUGUACCAACCAAGGUCUCCGAGAACGCUGACUGCUUUCAGCUCCUGCCACUGGGCGCAUCCAAAGAGAACGUGGCUCGGGGCUCCUGUAGGAAGUCUCCUGAUUUAGGCUUUGGAAGAAGACUGAAUCUCUCCAGUCACUGCAAGGCUUGAGUGUCUCCAGCCUCUGACCAGGACCAGUAAGUAUAGGAUUGCGUGAUCAUUUUGAUCGACUGAAUUCCUAAACAUCGAACUGCUGAGUCAAAGGAUGUGAUAACGCGGUGUCUCGGCUGCGGCCCGCGGUGUCCCCCGGCAGCCUCAUGGGGUCACACUGAGCCGCGGGUGCUGUCACCCGCGCUAACGCCUUUCUCCAUCGGGACGGGAACCACCCGUAUUUCAUAUCCUUGUUCUGAAGAGCUUUUUACGAUUUCCGUGUAAAAGUCUUCAGAAAAUAUUCUUCCAGUGACAGCUGACGCUCAGUACCCUGUUGUAUCGGUGUCAGGUGUAGGGCCCAGGGGUCACACGUCUGUGCAGGUUCCGCAGCGGCUCCCGGGAGGGUCCAGCCCCCGCCUGGCACCACGCUUACUACAGUGUCAUUGACUGUGUCCCCUGUGCUGUGCCUCGCGUCCCCGGGACUGUUUUGCAACUGCCAGUCUGUACUUCUCAGUCCCGUCACCUCUUUCACCCUGAAGAGUGUGUUUUUUUUUUAAAAAAAGGCUCCUCUUUAAUUCACUUUUUAUUUUAUUGCUGGUGAUAUUGUACGCUUUUUUAUAGAUUUAUUGGCCAUUUGGAUUUCUUUUGUUAAUUUCCUGUUCGUAUUCCUUGCCUGUUUAUUGGGAUGUUCAUAUUUCCCUUUCUGAGUUUAAGAGCUAUUUAUAGCCUAAGAAUUUAAACUCUUUGUCUAUUAUACAGCGGGCAAAAGGAGGGUAACAGCUGUUCAUAUGGAAAAUAAUACAAUAAUUAAUAAAUAAUAAUGCAAGAAUAAACUCUAUGUUUCAAGCACUCACAACUGCAAACCUACUUUUGCUGAACCCGGUAUACAUUGCAAACAUUUCCUCACAGAAUUACGUUUGAUUUUUAACGUCUUAGGGAUUUUUUGGCCAUAGAACUUAAAUUUUGCACAGUAAAAUCCAUCAAUCUCUUGGUUAACAAUGUCCCUAGCGUCCUUUGUCAUGCCUCGAAAGCCUUUCUCCAACUCAAAAUUAUAUAUGUAUUAGCCUAUAUUUUUCUAGCGCUUGUAGUAAAAUCACGAUUCCAUCUGGAAUUUAUUUUGGUAUGUAGUAUGAGGUAAGAAUCUAAUUUUAUUUUUUUCUCAAAUAACUAGGAAGUUGUCUAAUCCAAUUGGCAAAUAAAUUCAUCCUUUCCCAACGUCGAGAUGUCACCUUUAACACAGGGCAGUGGUUUUUCAACCAGCGAGCCACAAAAAUGUUUAAAACAUGCAACACCUGACUGUCUAGUUACAGGCACUGACCCCUUUCCCCUAGACUGUCAAAUGAAAAAUGACACCAGCCGACAGCAAUAGCCGGCCGGUGUGAAUGAAGCAAAAUUAUACUUUUUUUUUUUUGGUCAGAUGGGCAAAAAAUGUAUUUUUUGGUGUGCCGCAGAAUUGUAGAAAUUAGUCUGUGUGUGCCGUGAGAUGGAAAGGGUGGCCCUGCUGACAGGGAGACUGUCCCCUUACAGUAAACGUGGGCCUGUUCCUAGGCCCGGCCCUGCCCUGCGAGUACCUCUGUUCAUUCUCGCGCCCCGGUGGCCGCAGGUUAUCGGGCCGUGGUUAUCAUUGUCGUGGUGUUAGAACAUGUCUUUCUUUUAGAAAAUGGUUUUGGGUAUGAUAGUGUGUGUGUUUUCCCCAGUGAACUUUAGGAUUAUUCUGCUAAAUUUAAAAAUCCUGUUGGUUUGAUUGAAUUUGCAUUAACUGUACAGAUUACAUUAUAAAGGACUUGGCAGCUUUUCUGUGCUGUCCUUCUGUCCGUGAGAAUAGAGCAUCUACAGUUCUUCGUGUGGCCUUUUCCCUCUGUCAGAAUAUUAUCAUUUUCUCAUCUAAGCUCUGCACUUUUCUCGUUACAUUUAUUUCCUGGGUAUUUUAUAUGUUUACUGUAAUUUGGAAGGAUCUUUUUUCCUCUAUCGUUUCUAACUGGACUUUCUAGGUAUAUAGGAAAGCUGCGGAUUUGUGCGCAUAUCCAUGGUUACUGUUCACGUCCCAGUUAGUGCCUCUCCAAAAAUAGUCCGAACUAUUUGCAAUGGAUUCCCUUGGGUUUUCCCAGUAAAAAAAAAUAUAUACUCUGUAAAUAAUGAUAUUUUGCUUCUUCCUCUCAAAUAUUUAUUUAACUUUUUAUUGCAUCGAUGAGAACUUUCCAAGCUUUGUUGGACAGCAUCAUAGUCAUUGUCCUGGUCUUACUGGUGCGCCUCACUAGUAGGCCCCCUCAGGGCUCCAGUUUCAAGUGGCUCGGCCUGACUGGCUUCCAGUGCAGUGAGCUCUGGUAAUCGGCACCCCCACCCCUUCCCUUAGGGAGCAGACACCUAUCUUUAUUAUAUUGUGGUUUUCUUAACAUUGAUCGCCUGAUUGCAUCUCCUAGAGGGUGUAUUUUCUCUCCAGUCAUUUUUAUCUCUAUGCUUUUCCUUGUACUCAUAGUUCAAGAAAUGAUUUUUUUAAAUUAAUGCAUAACAAAAUCGGAAAAAUUGGGGUACUUCCAUAUCUAAUGUUACAAUAAAAUAAAAAACGAACGUCUGUUGUCAACAAUAAUGAUUAUAAUAAUAGCUGGCACCUAUUGAGUACUGUUCGAAGCAUUAAAUCUUUACA